rnacentral:rRNA from 1 species
GCAGCCGCCGCGGGAAUACGUAGGUGGCAAGCGUUGUCCGGAAUUAUUGGGCGUAAAGGGCUCGCAGGCGGUUUCUUAAGUCUGAUGUGAAAGCCCCCGGCUCAACCGGGGAGGGUCAUUGGAAACUGGGAAACUUAAGUGCAGAAGAGGGGAGUGGAAUUCCACGUGUAGCGGUGAAAUGCGUAGAGAUGUGGAGGAACACCAGUGGCGAAGGCGACUCUCUGGUCUGUAACUGACGCUGAGGAGCGAAAGCGUGGGGAGCGAACAGGAUUAGAUACCCCUGUAGUCCCUGUCUCUUAUAC